AUUUGUUCUCUAACAACGGCACUGACCUUUCCAUAGUAAUUAGUAAGUGCUAUUUGUCGGGGUAGUUUAA
rnacentral:pre_miRNA from 1 species